AUUGAACGCUGGCGGCAGGCCUAACACAUGCAAGUCGAGCGGGUGAAGGGAGCUUGCUCCUGGAUUCAGCGGCGGACGGGCGAGUAAUGCCUAGGAAUCUGCCUGGUAGUGGGGGAUAACGUCCGGAAACGGGCGCUAAUACCGCAUACGUCCUGAGGGAGAAAGUGGGGGAUCUUCGGACCUCACGCUAUCAGAUGAGCCUAGGUCGGAUUAGCUAGUUGGUGGGGUAAAGGCCUACCAAGGCGACGAUCCGUAACUGGUCUGAGAGGAUGAUCAGUCACACUGGAACUGAGACACGGUCCAGACUCCUACGGGAGGCAGCAGUGGGGAAUAUUGGGCAAUGGGCGAAAGCCUGAUCCAGCCAUGCCGCGUGUGUGAAGAAGGUCUUCGGAUUGUAAAGCACUUUAAGUUGGGAGGAAGGGCAGUAAGUUAAUACCUUGCUGUUUUGACGUUACCAACAGAAUAAGCACCGGCUAACUUCGUG
rnacentral:rRNA from 1 species